rnacentral:rRNA from 1 species
AUGAACAAGCCUGCGGCUGUUUCCUUGAUAAUCCUUCUUAUCUUGGGCUCCAACUACGUGCAGGAUCGUGCCCGGCUUAACGCCCUGAUCCAAAAUGUAGGUUGGUUUUUCGGUAUCACCCUAAAAAGCUGUAUUCUAUAUGGUCUUCAAGAGAUUAGGAAAUGGAUAUGCGGAGCGGAGAGCUCUGGAUUUGUGGAUGGUUUUCCACUGGAUAUCAACUUAAAUGAUGAGAACCCAAUAAUCUUCGAGGGAAGUGGUAUUGGCAACUGGAUAGCUCAUGUGAUAAUUAGAACGAUGAAGGACUACCACAAGUUAUGCAAAGAGAAUGUACGAGGUGGCUGCUGUUGUGGUCGUAAUGGUCGCAAUUGUUGUUGUUAUUGUUAG